GGAGGGGUGGCAGAGUGGUCGAUUGCAACGGUCUUGAAAACCGUCGAGCGGUAACCCGUUCCGAGGGUUCGAAUCCCUCCCCCUCCG
rnacentral:tRNA from 1 species